AGCGCUCUUAGUUCAGUUCGGUAGAACACGGGUCUCCAAAACCCGAUGUCGUAGGUUCAAAUCCUACAGAGCAUGA
rnacentral:tRNA from 1 species